GUCUAUGGCCAUGCCACCCUGAACAAGCCUGAUCCUGUCUGAUCUCGGAAGCUAAGCAGGGUCGGGCAUGGUUAGUACCUGGAUGGGAGACCAGGUGCUGUAGGCG
rnacentral:rRNA from 1 species